AACGUAGGACACAAGCGUUAUCCGGAGUUACUGGGCGUAAAGGGCGUGUAGGCGGAUCAAUAAGUCUAUUCUGAAAGCUCCUGGCUAAACUGGGAGAGGCGAAUGGAGACUGUUGGUCUAGAGUGAGGAAGAGGAAAGUGGAAUUCCGCGUGUAGUGGUGAAAUGCGUAGAGAUGCGGAAGGAACACCAGUGGCGAAAGCGGCUUUCUGGUCC
rnacentral:rRNA from 1 species